CCUACGGGAGGCAGCAGUGGGGAAUAUUGGACAAUGGGCGAAAGCCUGAUCCAGCAAUGCCGCGUGAGUGAUGAAGGCCUUAGGGUCGUAAAGCUCUUUUACCCGGGAUGAUAAUGACAGUACCGGGAGAAUAAGCCCCGGCUAACUCCGUGCCAGCAGCCGCGGUAAUACGGAGGGGGCUAGCGUUGUUCGGAAUUACUGGGCGUAAAGCGUGCGUAGGCGGUUAUUCAAGUCAGAGGUGAAAGCCCGGGGCUCAACCCCGGAACGGCCUUUGAAACUAGGUAGCUAGAAUCUUGGAGAGGUCAGUGGAAUUCCGAGUGUAGAGGUGAAAUUCGUAGAUAUUCGGAAGAACACCAGUGGCGAAGGCGACUGACUGGACAAGUAUUGACGCUGAGGCACGAAAGCGUGGGGAGCAAACAGGAUUAGAUACCCUGGUAGUCCACGCCGUAAACGAUGAUAACUAGCUGUUCGGGUACUUGGUAUCUGAGUGGCGCAGCUAACGCAUUAAGUUAUCCGCCUGGGGAUACGGUCGCAGAUUAAAACUUAAAGGAAUUGACCGGNNGAGANGCGACGACGACGACGAGGAGAG
rnacentral:rRNA from 1 species